UACGGGGGGGGCGAGCGUUGUCCGAAGUUACUGGGCGUAAAGCGCGUGUAGGCGGGUUGUUAAGUCCGCUGUGAAAGCCCGGUGCUCAACGCCGGAGGGUCGGUGGAUACUGGCAGUCUUGAAGUGGCUAGGGGGAAAUGGAAUUACCGGUGUAGCGGUGAAAUGCGUAGAUAUCGGUAGGAACACCAGUGGCGAAGGCGGUUUCCUGGAGCUAACUUGACGCUGAGACGCGAAAGCUGGGGGAGAAAACGGG
rnacentral:rRNA from 1 species